UGGUGACUUAAACCCUCACCAGAGUACCAAUUGGAGGGCAAGUCUGGUGCCAGCAGCCGCGGUAAUUCCAGCUCCAAUAGCGUAUAUUAAACUUGUUGCAGUUAAAAAGCUCGUAGUUGAAUUUCAGCGUUUCGCGUGUGCCUCUUUUGGCCCAUCUCGUCUCGCUUUUUUUAUUACUUUGAGAAAAUUAGAGUGUUUCAAGCAGGCUUUUGUCUUGAAUACUUGAGCAUGGAAUAAUAGAGUAGGACCUUGGUUCUAUUUUGUUGGUUUUGUUACCUUGGUAAUGGUUAAUAGGAACGGUUGGGGGCA
rnacentral:rRNA from 1 species